rnacentral:rRNA from 1 species
GACGAACGCUGGCGGCGUGCUUAACACAUGCAAGUCGAACGGAGUGGCGAACGGGUGAGUAACACGUGGGUGAUCUGCCUUGCACUUCGGGAUAAGCUUGGGAAACUGGGUCUAAUACCGGAUAGUGCAAGAUGCGCUCGCGGCGUAUCGGCUUGUUGGUGGGGUAAUGGCCUACCAUGGCGUCGACGGGUAGCCGGCCUGGGAGGGUGUGCGGCCACAUUGGGACUGAGAUACGGCCCGGACGCCUACGGGGGGCAGCAGUGGGGAAUAUUGCACAAUGGGCGGAAGGCUGAUGCAGGGACGCCGCGUGGGGGAGGAAGGCCUUCGGGUUGUAAACUCCUUUCGACAGGGACGCGGUACCUGUAUAAGAAGCACCGGCUAACUACGUGCCAGCAGCCGCGGUAAUUC